rnacentral:rRNA from 1 species
AGUCAAUAGAUACCCUGGUAGUCCCAGCUGUAAACGAUGCGCGUUAGGUGUAUCGGUGACCACGAGUCAUCGAGGUGCCGAAGGGAAACCGUGAAACGUGCCGCCUGGGAAGUACGGUCGCAAGGCUGAAACUUAGAGGAAUUGGCGGGGGAGCACCACAACGGGUGGAGCCUGCGGUUUAAUUGGACUCAACGCCGGGCAGCUCACCGGAUAAGACAGCUGGAUGAUAGCCGGGCUGAAGACUCUGCUUGACUAGCUGAGAGGAGGUGCAUGGCCGUCGUCAGUUCGUACUGUGAAGCAUCCUGUUAAGUCAGGCAACGAGCGAGACCCACGCCAACAGUUGCCAGCAUGUCCUGG